rnacentral:lncRNA from 1 species
GAAGUUUACCAUGUCAGGUUUACCUGGUUCUAUCACAGGUACAUUCCUCAGCCUAUACUUUGAGAGAAGCAACAAGACAGUCAACAUAGCGCUCUCUUUUCCAACUGGAACAAAAGGUGCCCAUCGAUAUGAUGUAAGUAUUGAUUUUACCUGAAACCAUAAAUCAACAUAAAUGUUUUUUUCCUUUUCAAUAUGGAGUUAAGGGAAGAAUUUAACUGACCGUAUUUGGCUUAAUUUACGAAAAAAAAUAUCCCAAAUGAAUUAUGUAGGAACAUAGCCAUCUUAUUUUCUAUGAUUGGCUACAGCCUACAAGUACAAUAAAAUCUAAACAUAUAAAUAACUAGCUAAACCCAGCCUAGCUCUGAUCGUACUGGCCUUUACUAUUAAUGAGAUAUCCUUAAAAAAGAUUCCUUCUCAAUGAAGGAAGAGAGGUGCUCAUACCAAGACACAGAGCUAACAUGAACAUAAAAGCCACGAACCCAAAGUUAACUCCAGAACCCCUGCCAUUCUCAUGCUUACCGUUGUUGACUUGAAGGGUUCUUCUUCCAGUAUUACUUUGUAAAAAUCUUCUCCCAGGUCAUCGGCAGCUUGAGGUGCAUCGUUAGCCAUCACAUUAUCUGCAGCAAUGCCACCUACCAGUGCAGCACCUGCUGCAGCGGCGGUUAGUCCAGCGAUUGCAGCAGGACCUGUCAUUCCCAAUGCUAGUGCUCCCAAAGCACCCACGGUUCCUGCACCAACUCCAGCAGCUGUUGCUGUACCUGUUGAUAUAGCAGCUGCUGCAAGUUCUGCGCUCUCCAGCACCCAGAGAAUGAUGGCUGAGUAAUCUAUGAUGCCAAGGUACUUGCUUCUCCAAUCUGAACUAGUAACAGCGUCUGGGUCUUUAACUGGUGCUGCUAAAAUGUUGCUUUCAGAUAGAAUCUUAACUGCUUCUCCUACAGGCGUAUCUGCUAGAAUUUCAAUCACUACCAAGGCAUUUUUCAUGUUAGUGUUUUUGUCCAUGCAGAUCCUUGACUCAAAUUAAAUGCAUAAGAUGACAAUGACUGAAUGAAUUCUUUUAUGUGGUUAAUCGCUUACCUUUUCCGCUAGGAACUUCUGGAAAAGAAGAGACUGGAAUCUUUGCAAAGGCAUCUGUCAAGGUCUCCUGCAAUGACUGUGGUAGCUUCUUUCUAGAUUGUAUGAUUUCGAAAUAGGUCUCACAUUUUGAAAGUGAGUUGCUUGUUCUGAACUCC